UUUUCUUUUUCUACCUUGAAACAUUUUUCAAUAAUUUCUACCCUUUAGAAGAGUCAUUUUAUGGGCGCUUUUUCGUCGUCCAUUUGUGAGCACACAUAUUUUAAAUAACUACUAAUAUUUUAAAAAAUAAUUGUGGGCCCAUAUAUUUUAAACAACUACUAAUAUUUAAAAACAACUACUUUUUCAUCGUCCGUUUGUGAGCCCACAAAAAAAUUGUGGGCCCACAUAUUUUAAACAACUACUAAUAUUUAAAAAUAAUAAUUGUGAGUCCACAUAUUUUAAACAACUACUAAUAUUUAAAAAAACAAAAAUUGUGGCCCACAUAUUUUAAACAACUACUAAUAUUUAAAAAAAUUGUAGACCCCAUAUUAAACACCAACCAGUAAUAAAAAAAAAAAAAAAGUGGAACCCAUCACAUCUAAACUCACGGGAAAAAAAAAGUGGAUCCCAUAUUAACAAAAUCAAGCAAUAUUAAAAAAAAAAGUGAAUUCCAUAUUAAAAAAACAAACAAUGUUAAAAAAAAAAAAAGUGCUUAGAAAAUCAAACAAUUAGAUCAAUAAUGAUGGAUUCAUUGCCACAUGCGUAUCAAUCCAUUAGAGGGAGCAAAUGAAAUUAUUGUACAACAACACACUUAAAAUACAAAAAUGCUUAGAAAAUCAAACAAUUAAAUCAAUAAUGAUGGAUUUAUUGCCACAUGUGUAUCAACCCAUUAGUGGGAGCAAAUGAAAUUAUUGUACAACAACAUACUUAAAAUACUUAUAUAUAUAUAUAUAUAUAUAUAUCCUUUUCCCAAUUUUUGAAAAAAAAAAUGUGGGCCCAUAUAGCCUGAUGGAUUCAUUGCCACAUGCGUAUCAACCCAUUAGAGGGAGCAAAUGAAAUUAUUGUACAACAACAUACUUAAAAUACAAAAGUGCUUAGAAAAUCAAACAAUUAAAUCAAUAAUGAUGGAUUUAUUGCCACAUGCGUAUCAACCCAUUAGUGGGAGCAAAUGAAAUUAUUAUACAGCAACAUACUUAAAAUACUUUAAAAAAAAAGUGUGGUCCCUAUAUUAAACACCAACCAAUAUUAAAAAAUUCAAAAAAACACCAACCAAUUAAGCAUUAAAAAAAAAGUGUGGUCCCCAUAUUAAACACCAAUCAAUAUUAAAAAAUAAAAAAAAGCACCAACCAAUAUUUAAAAAAAAAAAGUAAAUAAAGUGGAACCCACCAUCUCCAAACUCACAGGAAAAAAAAGGUGGACUCCAUAUUAACAAAAUCAAACAAUAUAAAAAAAAAGUGAAUUAGUGGGAGCAAAUGAAAUUAUUGUACAGCAACAUACUUAAAAUACUUAAAAAAAAAAAAGUGAACACCAACCAAUAUUAAAAAAUAAAAAAAAACACCAACCAAUAUUUUAUUUUUUAAAAACGAAGUAAAUAAAGUGGAACCUACCAUCUGCAAACUCACGGGAAAAAAAAGGUGGACUCCAUAUUAACAAAAUCAAGCAAUAUAAAAAAAAAAGUGAAUCCCAUAUUAAAAAAACAAACAAUGUCAAAAAAAAGAGUGCACACUUUGUAUUCGUAGCAAACACUAAUAUAAUAAAGUUAGAUACGGAGCACAAACUAUAAUGUUAUAUUAAUCGUGUUUUGAAUAUAGUAGGGGUGGGCAUAAUUACCGAAAAUCGAAAAAUCGGACCGAACCGAAUUAAUUCGGUUUUUCGGUGUUCGGUUUUUCGGGUUUUCGGUUCGGGUUCGGUUUCAAUUUUCAAAAAUUUCGGGAUUCGGUUCGGUGUUCGGGGUUUAGUAUUCGGGUUUUCGGUUUAAACCGAAAUAUUAUGUAUUAGCCCAAAAAUAUUAAAUAGUUAGGCCCAUGCCCACUAAAUUUAAGUCCAAAAUAAAUAAAACCCAAGCCCACUUUCAUUAUCAGAGGUUAGAUAAGUACAAAAAUAAAAAAAGCCCACUUUCAUUUCAUUGUUUUGUAUCAAACCUAACGUAUCCAUCUUCCAUUCUUCCAUCUUCAGUUCUUCACACAUCUGAUCUAAGUUCUAACCUAACGUAUCCCUAUUCCUAAUUUAAUUUUCACUUCUCAGUUGACUGUCUCAUUUAAUUUUCACUUCUCACUUCACUGUCUCAGAGCUUCAAACUUCAGAGCUUCACUGUUCACAGCUCCGGCGGCGGCUGCUCUUCCAAUCUCGGCGGCGACUUCUCUUCCAAGUUCCGGCGGCGACGGAUUCAACCAUGCCUUCUAGAGCUCGCUCACAAGUUUGAGAACAUUUUGUGAUGGUUCAAGACAAUGAAGAAGGGCGUAAAGCUAGGUGCUUAACAUGCGGUGCGAUACUUAAUUGUAAUAGAGCAAAUGACACAUCUAGCUUAAUGAAACAUAUUAAGAGAUGUCUUGAAGAUAGGCGGAUUCACCUUCAACUUUAAGCUUAUGUUUUGAAUUUGGUAAAUUUCGGACUUAAUUAUGAUUGUUAUGUGAGACGACGGAUUUAACACUUGGUGUUACAACUUAUGUUUUGUAUUUGGAGCUAAAAUUUAGGACAUUUAUGUUGUUUGGCCGUUUGGCUGCUGCUCA